rnacentral:rRNA from 1 species
UUCCAGCUCCAAUAGCGUAUAUUAAAGUUGUUGCAGUUAAAAAGCUCGUAGUUGGGUCUCAGGGUGAGCUCAGUUGGUCGGCCUAAUUGGUCAGAACUGGCUGACUCUCCCUUGUUUCUGAAUCCCGGUCGGAGUUAAUUCUUCGUUCGUGGACUUCAGAUCGUUUACCUUGAAAAAAUUAGAGUGUUCAAAGCGGGCGUUUGCUUGAAUACAUUAGCAUGGAAUAAUGGAAUAGGACCCUGGUUCUAUUUUGUUGGUUUUGAGGACCAGAGUAAUGAUUAAUAGGGAUAGUUGGGGGCAUUCAUAUUUAAUUGUCAGAGGUGAAAUUCUUGGAUUUAUGAAAGAUGAACUUCUGCGAAAGCAUUUGCCAAGGAUGUUUUCAUCG